AACGAACGCUGGCGGCAGGCCUAACACAUGCAAGUCGAGCGAAGCCUUCGGGCUUAGCGGCGGACGGGUGAGUAACGCGUGGGAACGUGCCCUUUGGUACGGAAUAGCCCCGGGAAACUGGGAGUAAUACCGUAUGUGGUCGAGAGACGAAAGAUUUAUCGCCAAAGGAUCGGCCCGCGUUGGAUUAGGUAGUUGGUGGGGUAAUGGCCUACCAAGCCGACGAUCCAUAGCUGGUUUGAGAGGAUGAUCAGCCGCACUGGGACCGAGACACGGCCCAGACUCCUACGGGAGGCAGCAGUGGGGAAUCUUAGACAAUGGGGGAAACCCUGAUCUAGCCAUGCCGCGUGAUCGAUGAAGGCCUUAGGGUUGUAAAGAUCUUUCAGUGGGGAAGAUAAUGACUGUACCCACAGAAGAAGCCCCGGCUAACUCCGCGCCAGCAGCCGCGGUAAAAC
rnacentral:rRNA from 1 species